rnacentral:rRNA from 1 species
UUUAAAUGGCCGCAGUAUAUUAACUGUGCAAAGGUAGCAUAAUCAUUAGUCUUUUAAUUGAAGGCUGGUAUGAAUGGUUGGACGAAAUAUUAACUGUUUCAUAAAAAUUUAUAAUAAAAUUUUAUUUUUUAGUUAAAAAGCUAAAAUUUAUUUAAAAGACGAGAAGACCCUAUAAAUCUUUAUAUAAUUAUUUAUUAUAAUUUUUUAGAUUUAUUUUGUUAUAAUUAAUAAUUAUAUUUUAUUGGGGUGAUAUUAAAAUUUAAUAAACUUUUAAUUAAAAAAAUCAUUAAUUUAUGAAUAGUUGAUCCGUUAUUAACGAUUAAAAAAUUAAGUUACUUUAGGGAUAACAGCGUAAUUUUUUUGGAGAGUUCUUAUCAAUAAAAAAGAUUGCGACCUCGAUGUUGGAUUAAGAUAUAAUUUUAGGUG